GGAUGCGACCAUACCAGGACUAAAGCACCAGAUCCCAUCAGAACUCCGAAGUUAAGCGUGCUUGGGUGAGAAUAGUAUUAGGAUGGGUGACCUCUUGAGAAGUCCUCGUGUUGCAUUCC
rfam:Triticum aestivum genome assembly, contig: Triticum_aestivum_CS42_TGACv1_scaffold_019500_1AS